AGCUGCCAACAUUUGAUUUGACUACUGCUGAGCGUUAAGCCGAUCUUCUCGGACAUCUAUCAACAAUCACCCCCAAUUUUCUUUACUCCUGAGAGGAGAUGAAUCAGAGCCAAGCCACCAAUACCAAAUUAACCAAAUAAACUGGAGGGUUUUUACUAGAUUUUCCCGCACGUCAUUGCUGUCACAAAGGACUGAAACUGUGAUCUGGGAAAAUCCAGGUCUCAAAGUUGCUAAUUCAUGCGGUCUUUGGAACGUGAUGCUGUUAAAAUCCUCAGCUCAUGGGAUCAAGACAUUUGAGGAAGAAAUGCAACAAGGAGAAAGUUAAGAAAAUUUUCAUCAACUGUGCAGUUGAAGAAAAGUAUGAAAAUUUCCUAAAAAGCAUUGUCCAUGAGUUUGGAUGCUGCCCUUCUUGUCCUGAGACAUAGAAGCUCGUCUUCCUGACAGCUGCAGUUGAGCUGACUUACAUAAGUCAACCGACCCGUCAUUGCUCAUCGCUCUCCUUCCCAAAUCGAGCGUUGGCAGAUGAGACCGGCAGAAGAAGAGCUAAAAGCCCUCCCAGACUCCAGGCGCAGGCACUUAUCGAAGCCGCAUCUUGUCAGGGCCAUCCGGUAGCAAAAUCAGACUUCUCCCCCAGUUUGUGGGGUGUUUCAUCCUGCAGAGCUUGUCAGUGCUGUGCGGUUGGCCGUUGGCAGUGAGGAGCCUCUUCUGUGGGAUGUGGUGUCCAUCUAAAAUGGAGGCAACGUCCUGCAAACUGAUUGCCUUCAACCCCUUGUUCUUGUGCAACGCUUGAAGGCCUGCUGUAUCAGUGCAUGUGUGGAGAAUAUUUACCUAAAAUCCUGGCCUUAACAAAAGCCAGCUGGAUUGGGGAGAGUUUCCCUUAUUUUUCCCAAUUUUGACUCAGAGGCAACAAACGAUAUUGGUGACUUCAACAACAGUAAGGCCUUGAGGACCACCGAGAAAAUCUGGCCGCAUCCCCACUCCUGAACUCUCAAAGCCCCAGGAGAAGAGUCGCUUUAUCUCAGCUUUCUCCUAGAAAUCAUCCACAGCCCGUGCUAACUCCUCACCCAUGCCUGGGAGUUAUCUGGAGACGUGCAACUUGACCCACGGCAAAAUUACGCCGAGGACUGUGCUAAGAGCGCGAGUGAGUCCAUCAGUUUGAAGUUAAUCACGUCUCAACGGGACUUUUCGCUUACUUCACACUCUGUGAGCAAUUAAUUACCUUCUUGAAGCGAGGCUUGCAAAACCACUUCUUGCGGGGUAGGAGGGCUUUCGUGGCGACCGCGCAAAACGGUUCAUCUCCCCGCAGCGACUUCUGGCAAGCCGCGAACUGCGAGAGGAAGCCGUUGGCUGAGCGUUGUCUCCUGCGAGCAGCCAACUGCCAGGGUUCAGGGCAGCUGCCUUGCUCGUCUCUAUUUUGCAGAGCAUAAUUUCUUCCAACUUACAGGAAAAGCUUGAAUUGGGCUGUCGGGAGGAGGUGACAUUCUUGCCCGCCGUGGUGAGCGGGAGUCAGCAGGCUGGUGCAGCCUCUGCUUGGGAGCAGAUUACAUGACCUUCCCAGGCUCGAUGCUCUCAACAAGCUGGAGGGGGAAAAGCCUCCCGAAUUUACAAGCAGCUACAAACCCUAGUCAGAUCCAGAGCCACCACGCGAGCCAGUUAUUGCAACGUGCCUGUUCCAGUCACCGACACGAAAGCUGGUAGUCUGAUCCUAACGCUCUUUUAAUGCGGUUUUGCCAAUUCUCCCAUGCGGAAGCGUCCUGGACGCUGAGCAGGACGUUGGGAGGGGCUUAAAAAGAUUAUCCGCAAAGCCGCGUAUGGCGAAGAGAAACGUGACGUCGGGAAAGCUUUCCGCAGCGCAGUUAUUCGCAGCGUCUCGCAGGAGCAGGGGGACCCGGGGAAGCUCCGCGGAGGCGGUGGGGUUUGGCACGUCAGCAUCCACGGAGGAAGCUCUGAUCCUACGCACGUCCUGCAGCUCUCGGCGCCUGCUGUGUCGUUUCUGAGUUGCAGCGAAGACGGUGAUACGCGACCGUGAUUCCCGGUUAUUCAAGUCAGCCGUUUGCAAUUUUGCUUCCAUCCAAACACCCUCCAGGCUCUAUUCCACAUUGUAAACAAAGCAGCCUGCAACAUUUAAUGCAGAAGGCAGAAACUGGUGCCCCGGACUCUCGCUCCAUGCUGCACUUCUGCUUUUUGUCUGUAGGGAAUGCUUUUCAGCGGCGCUCUCUCAGAUGAAACAAACUGCAAGGACACUGCUCUUCCCUUGGGGACCACAUGGUUUCAGAAAUCUCCAGGUCUCUACAAAGUACUCAGUCAAGCGCACAGGGCAUGGGCUCUUUCUUGCGUCUGGUUUAUUCUGGAAGCUGAGUAAAACCAAGUUGGUGAGAUAUGGAGCUCCUAGGAAAAAGGCCGGGGCGCUCACGCUACGGAGUCUGACUCUUCACCGUGGCUCAGACCACCGCGCACAAACUGGAGCUUCUCCACUGCAGCUCAGUGGGUGGUUUUGGGGAAAACUCUCUUGCUUGGAGAACGUGAUGAAGACAGAAGUGUGGAGGAGCUUCUCUGGAAAAAAAAAAAGCUGUAUCAGUCUGAUAUAAGGGGGAAACUGUAAUCUGCACAAACUAGCUGGUGAGGAGGAAGGAGACCAAGGAGGAGUGUGACAGGGGUCUGUAAGAUGGCGAGUGGCUCGGAAACAGUGAAUUUUCUUUUACUAAACGGGAUAAUGAGUGAAGCUGGUUUACAAGUUCAAAACCACGUGGAGCCUUUCAUCUCAGUCCCCUGUGGAGCUGAGAGGUUCCUUGCCGCCGGAUGCUCUGGGUGCUAAAGGUUCGCACGGCUCCAGAAACUCGCAGGACAGACAGAUGGAAGAAAGGUCCACCAAGGGCUCUGAAAUAGAAAGACGUCACCUCUAGCUCCCAAAGUUACCGACCUGUGGGUUGCUGAAGGCUUCAAGACCCUUCAUGGGGGAUGUCAGCAAAGGCUUGUUCUGUCCUGGAUCUCCUCCCAUCCAAAAGGUCCCAGGGCUGGGAGCACCCUACGGAGAUCUUCCAUCUGAGCUAGGGGAGAGGGGCUGGAGGCCUCUGGCUGGACACACACACGGCACGGGCAGGAUUUGUCCUCUCCUGGGGCUUGCUGACAGCAGAUGAGAUCUCGGUGCUGCUCCCCGAGCAGGUUUCUAGGAUCACUGACUUUUUUUUUUUUGGGCCUGCCCGUGUCGAUCUCAACCUGCCCUUCCCCGCAGCCCCAAGCUUCUCACCCAGCCAAGCCUCCUUCUUUCACUCUGCUUCAUUUAAAAUAGAAAAUUAAUAAUUAACUGGCCUGUCCUUUGAGCGGCGGGUAAAGGAACCCCCUAACACCUGCCUGACAGGUUGCCUGUCGCUGUUUGUUUUUCCAGCGAGCUGCUCCCCGCGAACAGGAUGCCGGCGUUUCGGGAUGGCCUCCUGAUCACCCCAGGGCUUUCCGCCACCAGCCAGUGCCACCUCUCUUUGCAACCAGCCUGUCCUACUGCAACGCGCCUCCCGGCCACGAUAUUUGUGAAAUAUUGUGAAUAUUUCAGAACCUGCCUGCUUUUUUGCAUCUGCAGGGUCUUCCCUCCGCGCCCGGGUGUGGCAGUGGGUCACCGACCCCCUGCAGCAUCUCGUCACCUUCUUGGACGUCCAUCCUCUUGUACCCAUCUUGCAGCACACGUCAACGUGCUCCAGCUGCUGGAGGUGGCAAUUUCGCCCUAAUCUGGGAAUUCUAGGAUGCAGAAAGAUGAUGCUUUGCUUGGCCAGAGAGAGAAGGUUGACCUCCUCCUUUUCCAGUGGAGAAGGAAAAUCCUGAGUUAUUUCCCAUCCUCAUUCAACUAUGGACCAGGAACAUCACCACCCCCUUCUCUGGGGCUUGAAGGACAACUCCAACAGUGUCCAGAGAAGCAAAGACUCCUCUUUUAGAUAGAACUGAAUAAUUCUGUUGAAACUGGAUGAAAGGAAGCCUCUGUCAAAGACUCACCCUUCUGAUUGAUGGGCGAGCUUGGAAAUGUUCCAACCCCACUCCUUUAUUUUUAUGACACCUGUAAAGACGUCGUUAGUGUUAAAUCUCCAUCCCAGUGCAAAUCAACCGAUGGGUUAAUAUUUAUUAAGGAACAGGGAAUGUGCCAACACACCCCUCCUGAGAUAGCCGGGGCAAGCCAGCCUCGAAUCAAAAUCUUCAGUCUUUUCAAACUUUCAUGUGUCACCCUCCUAAAAAUUUAGUGUUUUCCCUUUAUGCUGCUAAAAUUACUUGCAGCAACGCAGGCGCAAGGGGAUUGGAGCCAGGCCCAGCCCAACACCAGGGCAGCACCCAGGGGCUUUUAUGCAUCCUCUUGGCCCUCCUUUGUUUUUUUUUUUUUUGGUUUUGUUUUUUUUUUUGCUGUGUUUCCCAUGGAUUUCCACCAGCAGCACCAGACUUCAUCUCUUUUAGGGGCAUUUCAAGCAAUUCCAGCCCACACACACCCCUCACGGGACAGUGAGCUGUCACCUCUCUCCUUUCUGGCUGCGCCGGGAUGCAGCAGGACGGGUGCUGCAGGUGACAGCACAGCUGUGAGAAGCAAAACCUGCUGGGGAAGACACUUGUUGUUUUGUUGUUUUUUUGUUUUUUUGUUUUUUUUUUCCCUCUAAUCUCUAUUUUUGAUGUUUCUAUCCAGGGUUGCAGGUGGUGUGAAGCGGGACACGGCCACGCGCCUGCCCCGCUGCUUCCCACGGACACGCUGCUCCAGCUCGGCGGGGGAUGCUACCGGCAGCACCUAUGGAUAGGAAGGCAGGUGAACGUAUAGGAAGGUAGAUGAGCAUGCAGGAAGGUGGAUGAGUGUAUAAGGCAGGCAGGUGAGUGUAUAGGAGGUCGGAUGAAUGUCUAGGAAGGCAGAAGAGCAUAUGGGAAGGCAGAUGAGUGUGUAGGAAGGUGGAUGAGUGUAUAGGAAAGCGGGUGAAUGUAUAGGAGGUCAGAUGAAUGUCUAGGAAGGCAGACAAGCAUAUAGAAAGGCAGCUGAGCAUAUGGAGAGGCAGAUGAGUGUAUAGGAAGGCAGGCUGAGCAUAUAGGAAGAGAUAUGAGCAUAUAGGAAGGCAGGUGAGUGUGUAGGAAGGUGGAUGAGUGUAUAGGAAGGCAGGUGAGUGUAUAGGAAGGUGAAUGGGCAUAUCCGAAGGCAGGUAAACAUAUAGGAAGGCAGAUGAGUGUGUAGGGAGGCAGAUAGGCAUAUAGGAAGGCAGGUGAGCAUACAGGAAAGUUGAUGAGCAUAUAGGAAGGCAGGUGAGCAUAUAGGAAGGUAGAUGAGUGUGUAGAAAGAUGGAUGAGUGUAUAAGGCAGGCAGGUGAGUGCAUAGGAGGUCAGAUGAAUGUCUAGGAAGGCAGAAGAGCAUAUGGAGAGGCAGGUGAGUGUAUAGGAAGGCAGAUGAAUGUGUAGGAAGGUGGAUGAGUGUAUAGGAAGGCAGGUGAAUGUAUAGGUCAGAUGAAUG